rnacentral:tRNA from 1 species
GCCCGAGUGGCGGAACUGGCAGACGCGGCAGACUCAAAAUCUGCUGUCGGAAACGGCGUGUGGGUUCGAGUCCCACCUCGGGCACCA